rnacentral:rRNA from 1 species
GGGUGCGAUCAUACCAGCACUAUUGCACCGGAUCCCAUCAGAACUCCGAAGUUAAGCGUUCUUGGGUGAGAGUUGUUUCGGCGAGACAAUUGGAAACAACGCGUCGGAUACU